CAGGCAACAAACAGUCUUGGCAAGCCUCUAAUAUAAACACUCAAAGCAUAUGCAUGUUCAAAUCAAAAGGUCUUUUAUGGAUGCAAUGGGGCCAAGGACAAGGGAGGAUAUGAUAUGGAUGAGAAGUUACAAACCAAAGGGAAAUAGAGGAGCAAUGGGGAACAAGUGAAAACACAGUAUACGCACACCCAAAACCCUUUAAUUCAAUCCUAUUCUUGUCUCCAUUAUUCACAAUUUUUUUAUUUUUCUCUGUUUCUUUUUUUUUUCAUCUUGUUUCUUUUCUUUCCUCUCUUUUCAGAACACAAAUCUAAGAGACAAGAUACACAACAUAUUCACAAAAACAAGAAGAGGAACCAAC
rnacentral:lncRNA from 1 species